GACGAACGCUGGCGGCGUGCUUAACACAUGCAAGUCGAACGGUAAGGCCCUUCGGGGUACACGAGUGGCGAACGGGUGGUAACACGUGGGUGAUCUGCCCUGCACUUCGGGAUAAGCCUGGGAAACUGGGUCUAAUACCGGAUAGGACUCCUGCCUGCAUGGGUGGGGGUGGAAAGCUUUUGCGGUGUGGGAUGGGCCCGCGGCCUAUCAGCUUGUUGGUGGGGUGAUGGCCUACCAAGGCGACGACGGGUAGCCGGCCUGAGAGGGUGACCGGCCACACUGGGACUGAGAUACGGCCCAGACUCCUACGGGAGGCAGCAGUGGGGAAUAUUGCACAAUGGGCGCAAGCCUGAUGCAGCGACGCCGCGUGAGGGAUGACGGCCUUCGGGUUGUAAACCUCUUUCAGCACAGACGAAGCGCAAGUGACGGUGUGUGCGGAAGAAGGACCGGCCAACUACGUGCCAGCCGCCGCGGUAA
rnacentral:rRNA from 1 species